UUGACCUCAAAUCGGGUGAGACUACCCGCUGAACUUAAGCAU
rnacentral:rRNA from 20 species